rnacentral:rRNA from 1 species
AGCAUAUCAAUAAGCGGAGGAAAAGAAACCAACCGGGAUUCCCUCAGUAACGGCGAGUGAAGCGGGAAGAGCCCAUCGCCGAAUCCCGGGCUUUUGGACGGGUCCGGGAGCUGUGGCGUAAGGGACCGCGCAGUCGGCGGCGGGCCGUCCGAGCAAGUCCCGCGGGACAGGUGUGCUCCCAGAGUGGGUGUGAGGCCUUUGGUUCGGACGGGGCCCGCUCCGGCGCUCCGCGGCUUCCCGAGAGUAGAGUUGUUUGGGAUUGCAGCUCAAAGCGGGUGGUAAGCUCCAUCUAAGGCUAAAUACUGGCACGAGUCCGAUAGCGAACAAGUACCGUGAGGG